rnacentral:rRNA from 1 species
AGAUUGAACUGAAGAGUUUGAUCAUGGCUCAGAUUGAACGCUGGCGGCAGGCUUAACACAUGC